GAUGAACGCUGGCGGCGUGCCUAAUACAUGCAAGUCGAGCGAACAGAUAAGGAGCUUGCUCCUUUGACGUUAGCGGCGGACGGGUGAGUAACACGUGGAUAACCUACCUAUAAGACUGGGAUAACUUCGGGAAACCGGAGCUAAUACCGGAUAACAUAUUGAACCGCAUGGUUCAAUAGUGAAAGGCGGCUUUGCUGUCACUUAUAGAUGGAUCGCGCCGUAUUAGCUAGUUGGUAAGGUAACGGCUUACCAAGGGAACGAUACGUAGCCGACCUGAGAGGGUGAUCGGCCACACUGGAACUGAGACACGGUCCAGACUCCUACGGGAGGCAGCAGUAGGGAAUCUUCCGCAAUGGGCGAAAGCCUGACGGAGCAACGCCGCGUGAGUGAUGAAGGUCUUCGGAUCGUAAAACUCUGUUAUCAGGGAAGAACAAAUGUGUAAGUAACUGUGCACAUCUUGACGGUACCUGAUCAGAAAGCCACGGCUAACUACGUG
rnacentral:rRNA from 1 species